CCUACGGGUGGCAGCAGUGGGGAAUAUUGCACAAUGGGCGCAAGCCUGAUGCAGCCAUGCCGCGUGUGUGAAGAAGGCCUUCGGGUUGUAAAGCACUUUCAGCGGGGAGGAAGGCGGUGAGGUUAAUAACCUCAUCGAUUGACGUUACCCGCAGAAGAAGCACCGGCUAACUCCGUGCCAGCAGCCGCGGUAAUACGGAGGGUGCAAGCGUUAAUCGGAAUUACUGGGCGUAAAGCGCACGCAGGCGGUCUGUCAAGUCAGAUGUGAAAUCCCCGGGCUCAACCUGGGAACUGCAUUCGAAACUGGCAGGCUAGAGUCUUGUAGAGGGGGGUAGAAUUCCAGGUGUAGCGGUGAAAUGCGUAGAGAUCUGGAGGAAUACCGGUGGCGAAGGCGGCCCCCUGGACAAAGACUGACGCUCAGGUGCGAAAGCGUGGGGAGCAAACAGGAUUAGAUACCCUUGUAGUC
rnacentral:rRNA from 1 species